AUGCUUCUCCUAAAGACUAAGCCAUGCAUGCCUUCGAAUAAGAAGAAGCAAUUCUCUCUGAAUCUGCGAACGGCUCCGCAAACCAGUUGUAAACUAUAGCGAGCAUACCCCUGGCCCUCGGGCCGGGGGUAACAAGGAUAACCCUGGUAAUUCUGAGGCUAAUACUCGACCGUACAAUCYGGUCGACCGGUAACGGGAGGCUGGAGGACGUGUUUUUAAUCGCAGAUGCGCCGGGAAAGGAAACACGUUCAGACCGUCAUACAAACGGUAGCGGGCCGAACCGUCCYCUCGGGGGCGGGGAAGCUCGUGUCCGGGCGGCUCUCGCAAUGUGCUUCUGACCUAUCAACUAGAUGGCAGCGUAAGGGGCAUGCUAUGGUUACAACGGGUACAGAGGAUAAGGGUUCGAUCCUGGAGAGUGGGCCUGAGAGAUUGCUCACACUUCUAAGGAAGGCAGCAGGCGCGCAACGUUCCCAUUGGGCAAUGCCCGAGGGCGUUAGGGGACAUAUGAAUGCCUGUCUUAUGAUGGGCAAUUCAAAUGGGUUCGUUCUAAACAGCCCUU
rnacentral:rRNA from 1 species